rnacentral:rRNA from 1 species
UACAGAGGGUGCAAGCGUUAAUCGGAAUUACUGGGCGUAAAGCGUGCGUGGACGGUUAUUUAAGUCAGGUGUGAAAGCCCAGGGCUCAACCUUGGAAUUGCAUUUGAGACUGAAUAGCUAGGGUGCGGAAGAGGGAAGCGGAAUUUCCGGUGUAGCGGUGAAAUGCGUAGAUAUCGGAAGGAACACCAGUGGCGAAAGCGGCUUCCUGGUCCAGCACCGACGUUCAGGCACGAAAGCGUGGGGAGCAAACAGG